AGCCUGAACGCUGGCGGCGUGGCUAAGACAUGCAAGUCGCACGGGUGUAGCAAUACAUCAGUGGCGGACGGGUGAGUAAUGUAUCGCUAACGUACCCCAAAGCCUGGGAUAGCUGCCCGAAAGGGCAGGUAAUACCAGAUUAUAUAUCCUUAUCGCAUGACGAGGAUCUCAAAGGGUCACCGCUUUGGGAGCGGGCU
rnacentral:rRNA from 1 species